GAUGAACGCUGGCGGCGUGCCUAAUACAUGCAAGUCGAGCGAACAGACGAGAGUGCUUGCACUCUCUGACGUUAGCGGCGGACGGGUGAGUAACACGUGGGUAACCUACCUAUAAGACUGGGAUAACUUCGGGAAACCGGAGCUAAUACCGGAUAAUAUUUAGCUUCGCAUGAAGCAAUAGUGAAAGACGGUUCUGCUGUCACUUAUAGAUGGACCCGCGGUGUAUUAGCUAGUUGGUGAGGUAACGGCUCACCAAGGCAACGAUACAUAGCCGACCUGAGAGGGUGAUCGGCCACACUGGGACUGAGACACGGCCCAGACUCCUACGGGAGGCAGCAGUAGGGAAUCUUCCGCAAUGGACGAAAGUCUGACGGAGCAAUGCCGCGUGAGUGAAGAAGGUUUUCGGAUCGUAAAACUCUGUUGUAAGGGAAGAACAAGUAUGUUAGUAACUGAACGUACCUUGACGGUACCUUACCAGAAAGCCACGGCUAACUACGUG
rnacentral:rRNA from 1 species